rnacentral:rRNA from 1 species
GACCUCGGAUCAGGUAGGAAUACCCGCUGAACUUAAGCAUAUCAAUAAGCGGAGGAAAAGAAACCAACAGGGAUUGCCCUAGUAACGGCGAGUGAAGCGGCAACAGCUCAAAUUUGAAAUCUGGCCCUCGGGUCCGAGUUGUAAUUUGUAGAGGAUGCUUUUGGCGCGGUGCCUUCCGAGUUCCCUGGAACGGGACGCCUUAGAGGGUGAGAGCCCCGUACGGUUGGACACCAAGCCUCUGUAAAGCUCCUUCGACGAGUCGAGUAGUUUGGGAAUGCUGCUCUAAAUGGGAGGUAAAUUUCUUCUAAAGCUAAAUAUUGGCCAGAGACCGAUAGCGCACAAGUAGAGUGAUCGAAAGAUGAAAAGCACUUUGAAAAGAGGGUUAAAUAGCACGUGAAAUUGUUGAAAGGGAAGCGUUUGCGACCAGACUUUUUCCUAGCCGGAUCAUCCGGUG